AAUAAUUCUCAGGGCGGGGUGUAAUUCCCCACCGGCGGUGAUAGCCCGCGAGCGCUCUUAAUAUAAGAGGUCAGCAGAGUUAGGUGAAAUUCCUGCGCCGACAGUUAUAGUCUGGAUGAUAGAGAAGGGGG
rfam:alpha proteobacterium HTCC2255 scf_1100007007381 genomic scaffold, whole genome shotgun sequence.